ACAGAUUCCUCGGGGUGCUGUUCCGUUCACAACGGAAUGGCUGAGAUGAUACCCGUAGAACCUGGUCAGGGUAAUGCCUGCGCAGGGAAGGUAAACCAGCAUUUC
rnacentral:ncRNA from 2 species